AUGACUAGAUAUCCACAUAUAUAUGAUACACAUGGGACCUCGGGUCAUUUUUGUCCUGGGUCCGCCCCUGGCAACCUCGCUGAGCGAAGAUAUCAAGGCGGGGGGGGGGGGACCUCGCGAGGUUCGCGUGACCUGAGCCAUGACGACCGAAGCCAGGCGGGCGCCAGCGGGCACAGAGUGCCAGUUUCCUCUUCGGUGCUAAAGAGGAAAGCGCAGGCGAGGAGUCCCGAGGCAUCAGGCAAAGGUUUCCAUAUCGGUGCAACGAGACCAAGACCAGCAGGACGGCAGGACAGAGAUCACCACGGAGCCCACGGCAGCGUCACCACUAGAGCCUUUGGCAGGCGCAAACCACCUUUUGUCAAGAUAACUUGUACUAGUUGUCUCCCUUCAAAAUUGGCCGUUGUGGGAUCCCUUCCCGCCUAA
rnacentral:rRNA from 1 species